CUGGCGGCGUGCCUACACAUGCAAGUCGAGCGGAGAUAGUUGAAGCCUAGCGAUGACUAUCUUAGCGGCGGAUGGGUGAGUAACACGUGGGUAACCUGCCUGUACUGGGGAAGUAACAGCUGGAAACGGCUGUUAAUGCCGCAUAUGCGCACGGAGCCGCAUGGCCCUGGGCGGAAAGAUUUAUCGGUACAGGAUGGGCCCGCGUCGGAUUAACUAGUUGGCGGGGUAACGGCCCACCAAGGUGAUGAUCCGUAGCCGACCUGAGAGGGUGACCGGCCACAUUGGGACUGAGACACGGCCCAAACUCCUACGGGAGGCAGCAGUGGGGGAUAUUGCACAAUGGGGGAAACCCUGAUGCAGCGACGCCGCGUGAAGGAUGACGUAUUUCGGUAUGUAAACUUCUAUCAGCGGGGAAGAAGAUGACGGUACCCGACUAAGAAGCCCCGGCUAACUACGUGCCAGCAGCCGC
rnacentral:rRNA from 1 species